rnacentral:lncRNA from 1 species
CUCAGAACAAGGACCUGGAAUUGAUGUACAGAUAAAUAGCAUCUUUGUUGAAGUGGAUGUCGCUUGAAUUCUUUGAAAAUCUUUGGAGAAAACAGAAAGAAACUGAAACGGCUGCCAAGUCAGAAAAAGAUGUCAGAUGGUAAAAGAAUUUCCAUUUGACUUUGCUACCACUAUCAAGCAUAAAUGAAUUAAACCAGAAAAUUCCCCAUGGCUUCUUCAGAAGACUCUAUUGCUCUGAAUAAGGAAUUCCACCAGCACUGGAAGAAAAACGCUGCCUCCCCCCCAAAUUUUUAGCUUUCAACACAUAACUGAAAAACUCCCAGAAAGCUGAUCUAUCCAAGUUAAUCAUCACGGAGGAAUUGCAGUCUCAUUGAGUACUAAAGCAAAUCUUUCUUCUAUGUGAGCCAAAGAAAAGAAAAAACAACCUGUCAAAUACCUAUAAAGAGAUGGCUAUCAUCAUAUGGAAAUGUGAAGAACUGCUAUGUGGCACAUUCAUGAUCUAAAUGGGAAAGAAUUAAGUGUCAUGAUGUUCCAGAAGGCCUUAUAACAGAGUAAACAAGGGGGAAAAUUGUAACAGCUUGUCACCUGUUCCUGCACACUAGACUUCAGUGUAGUUACUGUAAAAAAUAUCCACGGAAAAUAUGCAGACAGUUCUUUGAAAAGCCCCAAAAUUAUGUGUAGGGGCUAAGACCAAAGAAGGAAAAAAGAAGCUUUUUUAUACUCACUCUCCACAACCCAUUGAUAAGUCUAUUAGAAGAGUAGCAGUUGAAUGUGAAUUUAUGUUUUGAACCAUCAUUUGGCAGA